UUUUUUUUUUUUUGAUGUGGGUCAUUUUUUAAAGUCUUAAUUGAACUUGUAACAGUGUUGUUUUGUUUUCUACAUUUUGGUUUCUCGGCCACAAGGCACAUGGGAUCCUAGCUCACCAAGCAGGCGUUGAACCCACAACCCCUGCGCUGGAAGGGGAAGGCUACCUACAGGAGCGCCAGGGAGGCCCCAGGCUCAUACUGUUCUAAGUUCCGAGGAGCAGAAUCGCAAGAACCUGCCCGACAGCUCUCCAGAACUGCUGCACUUCUGUCAGGAAUUAAACAAGAGAACCAAAGCAAAUGUUUGAGGCGCUGCUCCUUCACCAACACUGACUGUUCUUUGUAAAGGGUAAAUACCCAAAGAAUGGGAAGCAGAGACUCAGAUCCCUGUCCACCAGCGCCCACAGCAACACUGCUCACAGUGACCGAGAGCCGGAAACGACUCGCGUUCAUAACAGCUGAAAUCUUCUCCAGAAAACCUACGGAAUGGAAGUUGCAGAAAUGAGGCCCAGAGACAUCAGCAAGCCUCAGUUCACACGGUUAAAUAAGGAGCAGAGCAGAAAACCAGACGCGGAGUCUCAGACUCAAAGUUCAGCCACUGUUCUGUCAGUCCAGUCGGUGUCAGGCAACCGGCUUUGCUUGUCAUCAGCAGCAGCUUGGCGGGAAGCAGGAAUUAGACAAGAGAACUGACUGAAACCCGCCCUCCAAAUGGGAAGAAAAACUACCAAUAACGAACUGUGAG
ensembl:lncRNA